CCCCCGCUUUACCUCCCUGAGCGGGGCCUUGCCGGGCCGCAACCCUCGCAAGGCUUACUCGCCCGGCUGCCCGCCGGGCUUUUUUUU
rnacentral:ncRNA from 1 species